AAAAACAUUGUAAACAAAAAGUGCAAAUUUAAUUUUUAGAAAUAAUGGUUUGUUUAACCGGGAGAAUAAGGAAGGGACUUGUACAUGUGAUGAGUAUUUUUUCGACGAGAAAGCAAAUGUUUGCAAAGAAUGUCUCGCUGGAUAUUUUGGUCGGAAUUGCUUACGUAGGUGUCGGUACCCGGGGUAUGGAGAACAAUGUCAAGGGGAAUGCUUAUGUAGCGUAGAAUAUUGCGAUUAUCGGAGUGGCUGUGUCAGCAUCAUAGAAAAUACAACAGAUAUCAGAGCAUUGGAUUUCUCUCGCAAAACCGGAAGUCGAAUUUCCAUUUCCAUGUUUAUAAAAAUCUUUAUAAUAAUAACAGCAGGAAUUAUAUUCCUUUUCGUGCUAAUUUUAACAAGAAUGAUGAAAAUUCAUCGAAAUACAAAGAAUACUUUGACGAAGGCAAAUAUUUCCACCACCCUUGAAGGGAAUGAUCGAAAUACAAUGGAUGACGAUGUGAUUUCUCUGCAAGUACAUGGACGUAAGAAGAAAAGAAAUAAA